rnacentral:rRNA from 1 species
AGGACGAACGCUGGCGGCGUGCUUAACACAUGCAAGUCGAGCGGAAAGGCCACUUCGGUGGUACUCGAGCGGCGAACGGGUGAGUAACACGUGAGUAAUCUGCCCUUGGCUUUGGGAUAGCCACCGGAAACGGUGAUUAAUACCGGAUACGACCACUUCUCGCAUGGGAUGGUGGUGGAAAGUUUUUUCGGCCAGGGAUGUGCUCGCGGCCUAUCAGCUUGAUGGUGAGGUAAUGGACUCACCAUGGCUUCGGACGGGUAGCCGGCCUGACGAGGGUGACCGGCCACACUGGGACUGAGACGACGGCCCAGACUCCGUACGGGAGGCAGCAGGUGGGAAUAGUGGACAAGUGGGCGUAAGCCUGAUCCAGCCAACGCCGCGUGAGGAUGGACGGUCCGUUCGGGUUACGUAACC